rnacentral:ncRNA from 2 species
AGCUUUUACAAAUUAUUUGCCUAUAUAAUGCCAUGAUGUGGAUGGUCAGUUUCUACCCGGACCCGUAAAGCCCGGACUAUAGGUGUGAGAUGCAUAGCG